rnacentral:rRNA from 1 species
GCGGUAAUUCAAGCUCCAAUAGCGUAUAUGUAAAUUGUUGCGGUUGAAAAGCUCGUAGUUGGACUUCUGGCGACUGCGUUCGGUCCGCCAAGCGCGUGCACUGUCCGCGGUCGUCGUCUCUGUCGACGUGGCGCGUCGGCCUUAGUUGGUCGGUGCGUCGUCUGUCGGCGAUGUUACUUUGAGGAAAUCAGAGUGCUCAAGGCAAGCGUUCGCUCGUGACUUCACUAGCAUGGAAUAACACAGAUGGGCUCUUUCUCGCACUGUUGGUCUGCGUCAAUUGAGCAACGAUCGAUAGAGACGGUCGGGGGCAUUCGUAUUGCGCAGUUAGAGGUGAAAUUCUCCGAUCUGCGCAAGACGUACUAAUGCGAAAGCAGUUGCCAAGGACGUCCUCUUAUGAUCAAGAGCGAAAGUCGGGGGAUCAAAGAUGAUUAGAUACCGUCGUAGUCCCGACCAUAAAUGAUGCCGACUGAGCUUCGGCGACUCGACCUCAGGUCGUACGUCGGCGCUCUUAGAGAAAUUAAAGUCUUUGGGCUCCGGGGGUAGUAUGGUCGCAAGUCUGAAACUUGAAGGAAUUGACGGAAGGGCACCACAAGGCGUGGAUGUUGCGGCUUAAUUUGACUCAACACGGGAAAGCUUACUAGGUUUGGACACCUUUGUGAUGGACAGAUUGAAGCUCUUACCCUACUGCGUGGAUGGUGGUGCAUGGUCGUUCUCAGCCCGUGGGUUGACCUGUCAGGUUUACUCCGGUAACGCGCGAGACCUCGGUCUGCUAAAUAGACGCGGCUGUUUCGGCACCCGCGCUCUUCUUAGAGAGAGACUCGACGAGAGUCGAGGGAAGUCGAGGCAAUAACAGAUCUGUGAUGCCCUUAGUUAUCCUAGGUCGCACGCGCCAUACAAUGUGGCGCACAACGAGUCUCCUUGGCCGACAGGAUCUGGGCAAUCUGGCAGAGCGCUACGUGACUGGGCUAGACUUUUGUAAUUUUUGGUCUUGAACGAGGAAUGCCUAGUAAUCGCAGGUCAGCAUCCUGCGAUGAUUCGGUCCCUGCCCUUUGUACACACCGCCCGUCGCUCCAUCCGUGGCAUGCGCCGGUGAAGAGGGGGAGGCAGCGUCGGCCGGGUAACACCGGAUCGUACGUGGAACCCCUCUGAACCUUCGCACGUAGAGGAAGGAGAAGUCGUAACAAGGUUUUCGUAGGUGAACCUGCGAAAGGAUCAUUAUCGGCAC